UGCACAAUAACUCAGCUGCUAGAGCCUGAGACUCUUAAUCUCAGGGUUGUGGGUUCGAGCCCCACAUUGGGCAA